AAAUGAAAAGUUCUUUUAAAUUCUUCUAUUCGUAUUUAUAAUAAAAGUUGAAAUUGGUAACAAUACUUGCAGAAAAUACUUUAAUUGUAUUUCGUAGAUUUCAUUGUUGUAAUCGAAUGCAAAAGUGGAUUAAAAAAAGAAAAGUAUAUUAUACAUACAAAUGAAAUAUUUUUUGAAGGGAGAAAAUAAAUACUGCUGAACAAUUUCUUCCCAUUGCCGUGAAAGAAAUGAUUGAAGAUAGAGGUUGCACUGCUGUUUGGAUUUCCUUUAUUCUAUUUUCCCGUUCUUCUUAGUUUUGCCGUUUGUUAUAAAAAAUAUAUAGAAGCUCAAAAUUCUAAUACAUUAAUUAAGAAGUCGAAUUAUAAAUAAAAAUUGUAUUUCCUAAUGAAAUGAAGAAUUUGAUUGCUUGAUAAUUCUAUGGAACAUUCUGUGGAUCUUCGUUUUAAUGUAGAAUUGUUUAGUACAUCACUUUGAUUUCUUCAUUGGAAAAUUUAUCAGUAAGUGAAUUUUUUUUUCACCUAUCAUCAAUCGUCUUACAUUCUCGUUAUACCGUUGUUUACGAGAAUUGUUUGAAGAAUUUCUUUGGAAUUUUGAAAUUAAAUGAAUAUACCACAUAUUCCGUUACGUAACACUGUUACGCGGAUCUGUAAUUUUUAAAACUUAAUAAAAUCAACCUAUCAGAACUGAUGGUAUGCUUUUAAAAAUACAGCAUAAAGUCGUUACAACAUUUUCCCGUUCUAAUAUAUUUUAAAAUUGACAUUUUUAUGACAAGAAAACUUGAAUCAUUUGUUAUGCAGUGAAAAACGAAUUGUUCGAUGAAAAUAAAUAAAAAUAAAAACCUAGAAAGAAUACAUAAAUUUAUUUUAGCGUUAAAAUAAUUCAUAAAAAAAUAAUAAUUGAAUUUGCUGAAAAAUAAAAGGGUAUAAUAGUGGGAACUUCAAGAGAUCAUUUGGAGGAAGUAAAAUAAAAUUGUGUAAAUGAGACUUUUGUGUUAAUUAUUGAAUAUAUCAAUGACGGUUAAUUUUUUUGGUUUUUUUCUCUGAUUUAUGAUGAUUUUUGUACACUGUUUAAGUAAUUAAGAUUGCUGUUAUAGUUAUGAAUUUAAAGUAUUUAAUUGUAUAUUAUACGCAAACACAUAUGCAAACUAAAGGUUAAGGUUUCUAUGUGUUUGUUUGUUUGAGUUUGAAGAAAUCUCACAUAAAUGAUACGAUAGAUCGAAUUUAUGUAUAUUCGUCUGAUAGAUUUUUUUAAACAUUUAAUUAUUCAUGGUAGUUUAUUCUUUUCACAUUUAGUUAUUUUAAAUUAAAAUCGAUAAUUUCGAAAUAGUUGUCUUAAAAAAUCUAUCAAGGUUUACACUUCGUGUUCUGCGUAUUGCAGUUCGAAUCCCAUUUUGAAAAUGAUUACUUACAUUGAAUAUUCUUUAAUGGGAAUUUGUUCUCGAACCACUUUAGUUUGUGGCAUCAUUCAUGCCCGGUGUGCAGUAUGCAGUUUUGGAAAUUCAAUAACGGCUACCAUUCCCGGCUAACAUUGGAAAAACUAGAUAUUUAUGUUUAGUCCGGUAAAAUUGGCCAUCAGGUAGACUGCGGCUCUAUUCUCAGCGUGUAAAUGGUUACGGUACUUUCCCAACUAUUUGCCAUUUGUUGAAUUAGCUACAUAUGAACUUAUUUGUCGUAGUGUGAGUUUUACUUUUCAUUUUUUGUUGUGAAAAUAUUUUUAUCAAUUAAAUGAAACUUUCUUAAUUGCUGUAAGUUAACCUUAUAAAUUUUUAUAAUUUAUUUAAUACAAUAUACUUAUACAAUUCGUAUAGUACACGGAAUAAUUUUUUUAUGUUCUCAAAAAGAGGAAAAUCGUGAACGGUGGCUAUUUUCGAACUUUAACACGAUGGGAAAUGAAAAAAGGUUUUAAAUUUUAUAAAAUUCAAUAACAUUGAUACAAUUUAUAAAACAAAAACAUCAGUUUGCUUUAUAUUUUAUGUUCAAUGCUUUUUUCGUAUAUUCAAUGCAGUUUCGGUGCCGAACUUUUCCAUUUUGAUAUGUUGGUGUGUGACUAUUUUCCGUUUCCAACUACAUCGGCCAGAUAUAUUUUUUCCUCUUUGUAAGCUUAGGUUUGAUCACGAUGAACAAUAUUGCAAUCGUUUAUUGUAAUGUACUGUACCUACUGUACUUCAUAGUAUCCAUAUUUUAUUUUUGGAAUUAUCUUUUUUAUAAUUAAUUUUAAAAGUUAACUAUUUUGUGUUGCUGGAGUUUUAAGCUGUCUUUCUGUUCUGUCGAUCCCAAUACGUAGCUGAUAAUGCGCAAUUGUUAUCAGUUUUAACAAGUACUUUUAAUGUUGAUCGUUCUAAUUGUCAUUUGCUUGCAUUAUAGUGUUUUAAACUACUGAUAUUUCUUAUUUUAG